GGGCCCAUGGCGCAAUGGUAGCGCAGCUGACUUUUAAUCAGUUGGUUGUAGGUUCGAAUCCUACUGGGCUCAC
rnacentral:tRNA from 2 species